ACGCACUUCUUCGGCCCGCAGACCGGCUCAGCUUACGUCUUAUCCAAGGUAUCUCCUUGUACAGCUUCACUCUCGCUUGUGUGUCUCAUGCAAAAAAAUCAAGAUACCUAGCACCGGCUCUUAUUUCUCUAUGCAUACGUAGUGUUUGUGCCGAUUCUUAUUUAUAUGUGCCUACUUGGAAUACAAUUCUUAUUUGUCUGAACCAGUGAGCAUUUCGUUCGGCUUGUUUCUGUCCAUGAGUAACAUUUUUUUGAAAAGCAUAUGUACAUAUUUAGGAAUCCAGCUAUGCUUUGUGCACUUUCUGCUGAGCUAGGGAAUGUUCACCUCAGCUAGCAAGAACCUGUUAGAGGCUGUGAUAGAUCAAAAGUGAAAGGAGUAGUUGCACGCUUAAUAUUAAGAUAAAGGACAAAUCCACAACAAUGGUGAUGGAGAUCUAUUUUAGCAAACUCCUCAUUUUGGUUCUGAAGUUGUUUUCCCUUUUCAGUGAAGGAGCUGGUUUUGCGGCAUCUGUUGAACUUAGUCAAAUUAGGUGUGUUGUGUAUGUACCUUGGAGCUGAAAAUGUAACAUUAGCUCUAGAACUGGUUGCCUAUACUGAAGAAAUACAGGUUGGUAUUUUCAUCCCACUACUGUACAAUUUAUGUUAUUUUGUACAAUAUUCAUUUGGGGUAUUUGGUCUGUUAUAUUUAACUUCAUUUCUCUUCACAUUAUUGCCACGACAGAUACAUAUAUAGACUGAGGCUUGUGUCUCCUGGGUGUAGCUCUCAUCACCAUAACAAAGGUAUGCUGUCCAUUCUUAUCUUUUUUUUUCCAAUGGCAUUAUGCUUAUAACCUCUCUGAUGAAAUGGUCAAACGAAUAUUUGUAGUUGAAUCAUCUUGAUGCAUAAUAGAAGAGUUGCUGGGUUUGGACAUGAGCAUGAUCAAUUAUUGUGGCCUUGCUGUUUCUUGAAAGAUAGUGUGCAAAAAGUUUGUUUUGCUCUUGGAAGGUGUGUGUGAGAGUUUGAGAAAAAAACUACUGCUUUACUUAUGUUUCAACUCCGGUGAGGCAUGUUUGUACAGGUAGUGAAAAUAUGGUGCUUAUGAUUCUCUCGCUGAUUUGGGGAUUUUGAUAGUAGAAUGUGGUUCUAGCCUGGUGCUGCGGUUCAUUCAGUUUCAAGGGAAAUGAUAUAUGUGUGGUUUCUUUGCUUUACAUAAGAUGCAUUAUGUGUUGUCUUCAUCUUGGUAACAUGUGGGCAGAUGUGAUACAUUCUUCAUGUUUCUGGAUUUGGUGCAGGUUCGAGGGUGUAAAUCUACCUGAUAUAUUGUUGACGGGGAUUGAGUAUUGUAGUGAUAUAUCUGAGAAUUUUAAUGAUCUAUCUGCUACCAGGUACUGUACUCAACACAAUUUUUUUGUGUGUGAUUCAACUCAUUUAACUUCAUGUUAAUUUGCUAACAAACCUCCUGCUGCUACAGAUUUCUUUGUACAAUACAUACAAAUUAUUGAUAUGGUAUUUAAACAAUGAAUAAUAGAUGUAAUUAUCCUGUAUGUCAAAUCUACUACUGUUAUUCUCAUAUGGUGAAUCUAAAUACUUCUUUGUAUCUUAGUCAUGAAAGUUCAAAGGCAAAUUUCCGUUGAUCUCAUUAAUUAGUGGUCUGAUUAACUCUCUCCCUCUCACCUCACAUGUAAAAAGAGAAGGUAAGAGGGACCAUGUUAAAAUGUGCCGUUGAGUACAUCCUGCAUCAGUGAGAUAUCAUGCUCAUUAUACCUCAGAGUUGCUAAUAUUUUUCUUUUCACAUAUAGUCCUCUCCUCUUGUCCCCGUUUCUCCAAUGAAAACUGUACUUCAGGCCAAAUGCUGAAGCCUUUACCUUCUUAAUGCUCUGUUUUAUUUGUGUUAACAUGUAUUCCUCAUGAUUACUGUGCAUACUUCUUUUUGAUUUUCUGUAUAGACAAUGAAGGAGAUGGACAAACAUAUAGCUCUAUGGUGAGGUACUAAUUCAACUUUUCUGGUUUUAAUUACCAGUUGUUCUGUGUUCGACUGAGCUGCGUAUAUUUCGUGUUAGCCUUUCGCUGAUUUUAGAACUGACCGCGUUUUGAUGAUUGGUGGUUACAGGGUUGCAUGGAGUACGAAGGCUUGUAUGCUGCAAGAGAUUUAGACACCCAGUUGCUGAUCUUCAGCCCCUUGAUGUUGGUUUACCAAUCUGCAUUCCACACUCUUCAAAGGUUCCGAGGAAGGUGAGUUUUGUAAGUACCAGUCUCUGCAAGAACGCUAAUCUCGGUUCAUUUUCCAUAAAUUUGCAAUAGUUUGUUAUUUGCCGGGACCAACUUUAACUAGGUUGAAAUAAUGAUAUUUUUUGUUCAUUUUAUCUGUUUGUAACACUCUACGUUUUAUUAAUGCAUGAUAGGUGCCUCUAUCAGCCAUUUUUGAACCAGAUAUGCAGCAGCAAGGGAGUAGCCCUAUCACUCUCGAUCAAAACCUCAAAGGGCGAAGGGAGAACGCAACAACAUUCUUCUAUGAUAGUUAAUGUUGUCCCACCUAUACGUUUUAUUAAGGCAUGAUAGGUGCCUCUAUCAGCCAUUUUCUACCAUGUACGGCUGAUACAUGUUAACUGCCAGUUUGUACAGGUACACAGUUGUGUGAUACCCAUGAAUUUUAGUCAGAGUAAUUAUAUGUUCUGUUAUCAUGGUCACUAGAUUUUGUUGAGUACCUUAGUGCUCAACUUAGGAACAACUAAUUGCCAUCUUAGGUCACUGCAUUCCCAAAAUAACUAUGGAAAGUUUACUUUCACAAUACAGUCACAUAUCCAUGUCCCAUUUUUCUUUGUGGUUUCUAUCUAUAUAUUCAGAUUGGACGCAUUUAUAUUGAGUACUUAGAAAUUUACAUAUGUUUCCAGUUGCAUUUUAGUUUAGACAUGCUCUGAUAAUAUGCAAAGUAUGUGGCACAAAAUGAUGGUGCUGGUGUUAUCAAUGGGGUCCAAGGAAAUUUGCACAAAAAUUUAAACAAAAUGAUUAUGCCAUCAAUACUUUCUGAAGCCUUCAACUUUCUCCCUUUUGUCCCUAAACAUGUCCUGUGUUUACGCAAGGUGCAGCAGCAGCAGGUCAUCCACUUCUACCCAAGUUGCCAUGGAAAAUCUAAUGGGUUUACGACUAUCUCAGUUCAUAAUGGUGUGAGCUUUGUAGGAGUGGGAUAUCAUAUACAGUAUGAUAGAUAUGGAAGACAACAAGCAAAAAUUCAAUUAUGAGGUGAUGGUUGAGCUGAUCAGUACAACGUUGUCCCGAAUUUUCUUUUGAUUCUGUUUCUUCUUGGUUUGCAGAUGAUCGGCUGUUUCAAUCUUUUUCUUCUGCUUACAGUCCACCAACAGGAUUGUUGAUGCCCGCAGGAGGGGGACAUCGCAGUAGAUGGGCUGAAGUAGGAGGCUGAGAGAAAUGGGAAACAACGGAUUCUAGCACAUAGUAGAUGCCUAAGAUGUCACUGAAGCGCUAUUGAG
rnacentral:lncRNA from 1 species